rnacentral:pre_miRNA from 1 species
CCAACGAACAGGUGAAACUGCCGCAUGAUCUGUAUCAUUCCUCGAGCAAAGGAGGAAAGUUAAGAUCAUGCUGGCAGCUUCAUCUGAUAGUGGUG